GACCUCGUAGCUCAGCCGGUAGAGCAUCUGACUUUUAAUCAGGGGGUCGCGGGUUCAAAUCCCGCCGAGGUCACCA
rnacentral:tRNA from 1 species